rnacentral:rRNA from 1 species
GGACCUGACUGCUAUCGGAUUGAUACUAAGCCAUGCGAGUCAUUGUAGUAAUACAAGGCAGACGGCUCAGUAACGCGUAGUCAACCUAACCUAUGGACGGGAAUAACCUCGGGAAACUGAGUAUAAUGCCCGAUAGAACAUUAUGCCUGGAAUGGUUUAUGUUCCAAAUGAUUUAUCGCCGUAGGAUGGGACUGCGGCCUAUCAGUUUGUUGGUGAGGUAAUGGCCCACCAAGACUAUUACAGGUACGGGCUCUGAGAGGAGUAGCCCGGAGAUGGGUACUGAGACACGGACCCAGGCCCUAUGGGGCGCAGCAGGCGAGAAAACUUUGCAAUGUGCGAAAGCACGACAAGGUUAAUCCGAGUGGUUUCUGCUAAAGGAACCUUUUGUCGGUCCUAGAAACACCGAUGAAUAAGGGGUGGGCAAGUUCUGGUGU